CGGGUGAGUAACACGUGGAUAACCUACCUGUAAGACUGGGAUAACUUCGGGAAACCGGAGCUAAUACCGGAUAAUAUUUUGAACCGCAUGGUUCAAAAGUGAAAGACGGUCUUGCUGUCACUUAUAGAUGGAUCCGCGCUGCAUUAGCUAGUUGGUAAGGUAACGGCUUACCAAGGCAACGAUGCAUAGCCGACCUGAGAGGGUGAUCGGCCACACUGGAACUGAGACACGGUCCAG
rnacentral:rRNA from 1 species